AUAUAAUUGUCAUUGAACUUCAGUUCACACAGCUAAUGCUCAUUUUUACAUUUACAAAUGUUGUGAAAAUAUAGCUUAUAGGCACUUCACAAACUAUUCAUGUUAAUAUAUUAAUUAGCUCAUAAUCAUAGUCUGUAAAGGUCAUAUAUUUGGCCUUUGUAUGUUCUGUCAACUUCUACUAUUUGCACAUCUUAAAUUAUUUAUUAAUCAUUUGUUCAUGUUUUUGCAGUACCCAAUCUAAAAUGGAGUCUAUUCAUCAUUUGUAAAUGUUUAUAAAACAUUUACAAUUUUUUUUUAGUAGGCUAUCUUUAUUGGCACUGGACUUUUAGCUACUUUAACAAUGUUUGUGUAAAGGGUGGUUAGUUAAGUAAAAACAUAUCACACAUUGUAAUUUGGGUGAAAAACAUGUUUUUAUCACCUCAACACUUUUAUUAGUAUACUAUUGUGUAUCAUUGUGACGACCUGGGUAUUCAUUGGGUUUUUUCCAGUAGAAGACUGAUGACUCCGCCCCCCCGUAACCCGGUUGCAUCAGUGACACCUGUGCCCAAUUUCCCUUGCCUCUUUAAGAGAAGCAAGCUCGAUGGCAGGGGGCGCGGGCGGCCAACUUGAUUGUUUUUCGUUAUGGUUUGAUAAUGUUUCUUUUUGCAUACAUCACAGCACAUUACAUUUUCACACAUACCCUUAGGACGCAAUUACUGACUUUUGAAUACUACCAUACUUUGUUUUGUAUAGCCUAUUUGUCUUAUUUAAAUAAAACGUUUCUUUACGAAUUGGCUCUCUUAUGUCCCAGUUUUUGUUGCGUCCCCUUUUGAGUCACGGGGCGUAACAAUCAUUAAACAGAAUAUUCCUUGAGUCAUACAUCAACAGGAGGGGGCAAAAAACUAUUUUUUUCAAGAAAAUACUUCAUUUAUCAAAACAAUGCAAUAUAAACAGAUUGAAUUGUGUUCCUUUAUAGUAAUCAAAUUGACCCUUGCACACUUGUUAACCCCUUACCCAACCUUAAACCUAUACCACCAAACCUGUCCCUAACCUUAGUAUUACACCUCAACAGCAGCAAAGGUUGUGUAUUAACAAAAGAUUUUAAUCACUGUAUAACAUCUGUUAAAAUCAUUUGUAGAUUUUCAAGAUGUGCAUGAUCAUAUGAAUUAAAAGUUCAAUGAAAUUUGUAAGCAUUUGAAUGAAAUGUUAAUUAUUAGGUAAUGUUUAAUACAUUUAUUAGUAAACAUUAACAAGCACAUUAUUUCACAUUUCUAGAUAUGUGAAUAUAUACUGUAUGAACUAAUGAUCCGUUAAGCAUUACAUAAUGAUUGUUAAUUAUUUAUUAAUGAAAGUUAUUAUAAAGUGUUACAGAAUUAAUAAAUGAAUCAAGUACAUAUUUUUUACUUGUUUC
ensembl:lncRNA